GUGCUCAUUCCAGCAGCACAUAUACUAAAACUGGAACGACAGAGAGAUGAUUAGCAAGGGCCCUGUGCAAGGAUGACAUGCAAAUUUGUGAAACAUUCUAUCGCUUU
ensembl:snRNA U6 U6 spliceosomal RNA